AGCCGAUCUAAAUAAGAAUUGAGAGCCACAUUGACCAUGGUGGAGCCGUGGGUGAAGUGGAGGUUGUUGAUUCUCGCUGCUCGCUCAUCAAUAUGGCUGGAAAUGAAGGCAUGCUUCUUCGUGCAUGUUCACACUACCACACUCAAUCUAAUUGUAAGAGGAGAAUUUUCUAUUGAUUUCGAAAUCUUUAUCUCGGUAGGGAAGAUGAAGCUAUGGAAGUAGGAGACUAGAGUGCUGGCCGUGUGAAUGCUCUGCUGGAGUAAUAGCUGUUGUUGAAGGUGUCUGGAUGGGGUUGAGGGAUGCCACAUCCAGUGACCAAG
rnacentral:lncRNA from 1 species